UUUUGCUACCUGAAAACUGUUUUAGCCUGUGCGUCCACAUUCCACAACAUGUAAAAAUCAUGCAUAGUAGAACUUCUUGAUUUCUUGGAUGACUAAAGUUAGCAUGAAGCUAAAUGGCACAAAACCAAAUCAGAGUGGAAUUUAGAGAUGUUUGAGUAGCGCAAGUUUUUGUUUUUCAGGUUUGUGAGUACAAAAUAGUCUAUUUUAAUCAAAGUGAAAUUUUAAGAUGUUUGAGUAGUGUCUUUUUUGCUUUUCUUUUUUUAGUUUAUGAGUACAAAAUAGCAUGUUUGUUAUCCCGUUGCAACGCACGGACAUUUUGCUAAAAAAAACUAAUUGACCGGCUCCAUUGCCAUAUAGUCCGUCCCUUGAUGCCAAUAAAGAGAGAAUUUCAUAUUUGCCAUUGAGAGUUUGCCCGUAUGCCCAAAUGCCACUGAA
rnacentral:lncRNA from 1 species